AAUACUUGAUUCUGUUCACAGUGGGGAGGCCGUUCAUUUGAAAGAGGAAAUGGGAGCUUGGAGUUGAAACAUGUCUGCUUGUCUCCUUUUUCUUUUUUCACUGCUCUUUUCAUCUGCACAUUUCCCCCUUGUCGUUUCUUCCCCCUCUUUCCGCUUAACCCCCUCCUCCAACUCCCGGGAAGUUGUUGAUGUCGUUGCUACUCCGAUUUCUGCUUGUGGAUUUGCCUCGAGGCCCUGAUCCUUGGCCGGCUGUGGAAGGGGCGGCUCAGGACCCAGUCGCGCAAUUUGCCACCCCGCGUGUGGGAGGCCGGAGCCCCAGUCUUUCCCGCUCGGUUCCACGGAACAGACGCACACGAGCCUUCGAGGCUUCAAAUGCAGCCGCUAGGGGGCGCCCGGAGGCAGCCUCCCGCGCCCAGGGGCUAAAUCCACGAACCCGGUCACGGCUGGCUUUUCCUCUCACCCACGCGUCAGAAACUGUUUUCCACGUCUAGGUCUGUGACUUCUCGUGGAAACAUGGGGAUGCCCAUAUAUUCCACCUCUGGGUUUUUUCUUUCUCUCUUUCUUUCCUCACAGCUAGCGCAAUGAUAAAAAGUAAAAGUGCUUUAUGUGACUGAACUCCUAACAAGCCUGCUUCAGAGUGGGAAGGCAACCCUGCAAGGAAUCCACUGGAUUUGCCAGCGGCCCAUCAAGGUUGGGUCACAUACUGAACUAACUCACACCAACGUAUCAGGGACUUUCCAGACCAGGUUCCUUCUGGCAGGGCGGCAGACGAUGCACAAGCUCUAGAUACCUGGUGAACAUGGCAGCUCGAAACAAGUGGAGAGCAGUGUGAGCACCAGGUGCUGCUGGGUGUGACGUAGCUUCAGUACCCAUGGCUGAGAAGUAAAGCCGACCAACCGGCUAACCGGGGAGCUGGCUGUAUGAUCAGAGUGGUGCCGCUUUGCUUCUUGGGAACUGGGAAAUGCCCCUCCCUUAAUCCAUCCUUUGAUUCCUCUGAGAUGUAUAAACAUGAUAAAUUCGACAGCCUUCAAGACAAAAUAUAGUCUUUCUUUGUCUUGCAGCCGAGGAAACUAAGCCGGGUUGGAAUGAUAUAGCUGAGAUUUCUGUGUAUGGAAAGUGAGGAAUCCCUGUGUGUGUUGCUAAGGGAAAAAAGCAAGGUACAGAACAUUGACUGUGCAACAUUUUAGGUUACAAAGAGCAGAAAGUAGGAAUAUGCAUUUGUGUUUGCUUACUUUAUGUAAACUCUUUAAGCCUCAAUUUCUUUCUCUGUAAAAUGGGAGUAAUCAUACUUGCUACCUCAUAAGGUUGCUGUGAGUACAGAAUGAGCUAAUUACACGUAGUUACAAUAAUGUUUGGGAUUAGAAUUUUUCAUGGGAUAUUUCUUUGAGAGAGGCUCUUCUCUCAUUAGGUAUAAUCUUGCCACUUGAAGAAUAUCUAGGUAUCUUCACAUUUCUGCAAUAGAAACAUAGCUGAAAAUGAAUCACCAUGUGACAGAAUCAGUGGCAACUUUAGCCCAAUUUUUUGUGUCCAAAAAAACCCCAAAAUAUGUGUGUGUGUGUGUGUGUGUGUGUGUGUGUGUGUGUGUGUGUGUGUUCAGAGAGAAAGAGAGACAGGGAGAGAGAGAGAAUGAGACAUUGAGGGUAGUAGUACUUAGGGUCUUCUCUUUCCAGUUACUCAAAAGUUACUGAGGGGAGUCUGGGUAGUUCAGUCAGUUGAGUGUCUGACUUCAGCUCAGGUCAUGAUCUCACAGUUCAUGAGUUCGAGCCCUGUGGUGGGCUCU